CCUACGGGGGGCAGCAGUGGGGAAUAUUGCACAAUGGGCGCAAGCCUGAUGCAGCCAUGCCGCGUGUGUGAAGAAGGCCUUCAGGUUGUAAAGCACUUUCAGCGGGGAGGAAGGCGGUGAGGUUAAUAACCUCAUCGAUUGACGUUACCCGCAGAAGAAGCACCGGCUAACUCCGUGCCAGCAGCCGCGGUAAUACGGAGGGUGCAAGCGUUAAUCGGAAUUACUGGGCGUAAAGCGCACGCAGGCGGUCUGUCAAGUCGGAUGUGAAAUCCCCGGGCUCAACCUGGGAACUGCAUUCGAAACUGGCAGGCUAGAGUCUUGUAGAGGUGGGUAGAAUUCCAGGUGUAGCGGUGAAAUGCGUAGAGAUCUGGAGGAAUACCGGUGGCGAAGGCGGCCCCCUGGACAAAGACUGACGCUCAGGUGCGAAAGCGUGGGGAGCAAACAGGAUUAGAUACCCGGGUAGUC
rnacentral:rRNA from 1 species